rnacentral:piRNA from 2 species
CGCAUCGACCUGGUAUUGCAGUACUUC